rnacentral:lncRNA from 1 species
CGUAGUUCCGGGCCCUAGGCGCUGGCGCGGGUCAGUAUCACGAGUCCUGCGCUUCCAGGUAUCAGAUUCCACGUGAGAGGCGAGAAAGGCCUGGCAAGCAGCGCAGCCUGCGCAGCCGGCGGAGAGGCGUCUGGCGUUUGAGUCGUGGGAGUGUCGCCGGGAAUCUGUCCUUCCUGAAAGGAGAAAAUGACCAAGUUCCAGGAACAGGUAGCAUUCAAGGACGCCUCUGUGGACUUCACCAAGAAAGAGUGGGGUUGCUGGACUCUAUUGAGAGGAAGCUGCACAGAGCUGUGAUGCUGGAGAACUACAGCCACUUGGUCUCAGUGGGUAAGAACAUGAACUUGAACACCAAUGCCCUGGAGUCUCUCUUUCUUCAGAUUUAAAUAUCGAUGGGGC